UGUGUGUUAGUGGAAGCGUCUGGAAAGGCGCGCGAUACAGGGUGACAGCCCCGUACACAAAAAUGCACAUGCUGUGAGCUCGAUGAGUAGGGCGGGACACGUGGUAUCCUGUCUGAAUAUGGGGGGACCAUCCUCCAAGGCUAAAUACUCCUGACUGACCGAUAGUGAACCAGUACCGUGAGGGAAAGGCGAAAAGAACCCCGGCGAGGGGAGUGAAAAAGAACCUGAAACCGUGUACGUACAAGCAGUGGGAGCACGCUUAGGCGUGUGACUGCGUACCUUUUGUAUAAUGGGUCAGCGACUUAUAUUCUGUAGCAAGGUUAACCGAAUAGGGGAGCCGAAGGGAAACCGAGUCUUAACUGGGCGUUAAGUUGCAGGGUAUAGACCCGAAACCCGGUGAUCUAGCCAUGGGCAGGUUGAAGGUUGGGUAACACUAACUGGAGGACCGAACCGACUAAUGUUGAAAAAUUAGCGGAUGACUUGUGGCUGGGGGUGAAAGGCCAAUCAAACCGGGAGAUAGCUGGUUCUCCCCGAAAGCUAUUUAGGUAGCGCCUCGUGAAUUCAUCUCCGGGGGUAGAGCACUGUUUCGGCAAGGGGGUCAUCCCGACUUACCAACCCGAUGCAAACUGCGAAUACCGGAGAAUGUUAUCACGGGAGACACACGGCGGGUGCUAACGUCCGUCGUGAAGAGGGAAACAACCCAGACCGCCAGCUAAGGUCCCAAAGUCAUGGUUAAGUGGGAAACGAUGUGGGAAGGCCCAGACAGCCAGGAUGUUGGCUUAGAAGCAGCCAUCAUUUAAAGAAAGCGUAAUAGCUCACUGGUCGAGUCGGCCUGCGCGGAAGAUGUAACGGGGCUAAACCAUGCACCGAAGCUGCGGCAGCGACACUGUGUGUUGUUGGGUAGGGGAGCGUUCUGUAAGCCUGCGAAGGUGUGCUGUGAGGCAUGCUGGAGGUAUCAGAAGUGCGAAUGCUGACAUAAGUAACGAUAAAGCGGGUGAAAAGCCCGCUCGCCGGAAGACCAAGGGUUCCUGUCCAACGUUAAUCGGGGCAGGGUGAGUCGACCCCUAAGGCGAGGCCGAAAGGCGUAGUCGAUGGGAAACAGGUUAAUAUUCCUGUACUUGGUGUUACUGCGAAGGGGGGACGGAGAAGGCUAUGUUGGCCGGGCGACGGUUGUCCCGGUUUAAGCGUGUAGGCUGGUUUUCCAGGCAAAUCCGGAAAAUCAAGGCUGAGGCGUGAUGACGAGGCACUACGGUGCUGAAGCAACAAAUGCCCUGCUUCCAGGAAAAGCCUCUAAGCAUCAGGUAACAUCAAAUCGUACCCCAAACCGACACAGGUGGUCAGGUAGAGAAUACCAAGGCGCUUGAGAGAACUCGGGUGAAGGAACUAGGCAAAAUGGUGCCGUAACUUCGGGAGAAGGCACGCUGAUACGUAGGUGAAGUCCCUCGCGGAUGGAGCUGAAAUCAGUCGAAGAUACCAGCUGGCUGCAACUGUUUAUUAAAAACACAGCACUGUGCAAACACGAAAGUGGACGUAUACGGUGUGACGCCUGCCCGGUGCCGGAAGGUUAAUUGAUGGGGUCAGCGCAAGCGAAGCUCUUGAUCGAAGCCCCGGUAAACGGCGGCCGUAACUAUAACGGUCCUAAGGUAGCGAAAUUCCUUGUCGGGUAAGUUCCGACCUGCACGAAUGGCGUAAUGAUGGCCAGGCUGUCUCCACCCGAGACUCAGUGAAAUUGAACUCGCUGUGAAGAUGCAGUGUACCCGCGGCAAGACGGAAAGACCCCGUGAACCUUUACUAUAGCUUGACACUGAACAUUGAGCCUUGAUGUGUAGGAUAGGUGGGAGGCUUUGAAGUGUGGACGCCAGUCUGCAUGGAGCCGACCUUGAAAUACCACCCUUUAAUGUUU
rnacentral:rRNA from 1 species